rnacentral:rRNA from 1 species
GAGUGGACUAGCUAACUGAAAUCGAAUCUAGCAAAACUUUGUUUGGCUAGAUUCGAUAUGUAAGGCAAAAAUAAUGAUGAAACCUUACUAUUAGUGUCGCCCAAAUCUAGUGCCAGAAGACUCGGUAAGGCCAGAGACGCGAACGUUAGUCGUCAUUAUCAGGCGUAAAGGGUUCGUAGGCGGCUUUAAGAUUUCUUUUUUUAAAAAAUAGCACUCUUCUCAUUUAAAUUUNGGUUUAAAUUAAUAAAAAUUAUAUAAAAAUAAGAAGGUUAAAGAGAGAAACAAUUAAAGCUAGAAUCAUAAAGAGGUCAUAUUGAAUAAUUCUAAGACUAUAAGGGCUGAUAUCUUAAGAUACUUGGAGGAAUAUUAAAGGGCGAAGGCUUUUUUUCCAUAAAUGAUUGACCUGAGGACCGAAGGGGAGGAGAGGAAUUAGGAUUAGAUACCCAACUACCCCUCCCUGUCAACGAUGAAUGGUAGUUAACCUGUAGACAAAAACAGGAGGCAAAGCUAACGCGAUAACCAUUCCGCCAUGCGAGUACGACUGCAAAGUUGAAANCCAAAAAAUUAGUCGGUUUCGAAGCACUACGAAGUGNAGCAU